rnacentral:misc_RNA from 1 species
CUGGAAAAAUGGAGAAUUAAAUUGAUUUGCACUCUCCACAACGGAGCGCAGAGCUUCAGCAUUUUUCUCUGCUUUUGACAUUGUUAUUAGGGCAAGAGUCACCAAACAGAAACUUCUUAUUACUAAAACAAUUUAGUAACAAAUUGUUAUUAGAAACUGAAAAAAUAGGUUGUAUUGUAAAUCUUAAUAAUAAAUCUCUUGCUAUAUAAGGUUUGAAGAUUGUGCAAAAUAGGUCUUCGCUUUGUUUACACACAUCUGGUGCACAGCUUGUUCGCUUCUCAAAUUAUCAUUGCAAUUCCUGGAUAAUUCAUCAUAAAUUCAUAAAUCAUACGAAGAUGUUUAAAGCAUUAUCAAAGAGCAUUGUAAACAUUUCUUUCGGGAUGAUUUCUCUAUUACUACCUAGUCAUG